rnacentral:rRNA from 1 species
AAUAGAUACCCGGGUAGUCCACGCCGUAAACGAUGGAUACUAGCUGUCCGGUCGCAAGAUUGAGUGGCUAAGCGAAAGUGAUAAGUAUCCCACCUGGGGAGUACGAACGCAAGUUUGAAACUCAAAGGAAUUGACGGGGGCCCGCACAAGCGGUGGAGCAUGUGGUUUAAUUCGAUGAUACGCGAGGAACCUUACCAAGGCUUAAAUGUAUAUUGACAGGACUGGAAACAGUUUUUUCUUCGGACAAUUUACAAGGUGCUGCAUGGUUGUCGUCAGCUCGUGCCGUGAGGUGUCAGGUUAAGUCCUAUAACGAGCGCAACCCCUGUUGUUAGUUGCCAGCGAGUCAAGUCGGGAACUCUAACAAGACUGCCAGUGUAAACUGUGAGGAAGGUGGGGAUGACGUCAAAUCAUCACGGCCCUUACGCCUUGGGCUACACACGUGCUACAAUGGCCGGUACAGAGAGCAGCCACUGCGCGAGCAGGAGCGAAUCUAAUAAAACCGGUCACAGUUCGGAUCGGAGUCUGCAACUCGACUCC